AAAGAACAUGAGACCACACCAUUGAAUGAUCUGAAAACAAGUCAAAGACUUGGCCGUAUUCUUGAAAAGAUACAUCCAUAUUUUAAAAAUAAGAGACAUGUCCAUUAAGAGAAAAUGUUUUGUUUGAAGCAUUUUUCACAUCGGCAGAUUCAUGUGCAUUGAAAUGCUUACAAGAGCCGUUCUGUGUUGGUUUUAACUUCUGUGAAGACAUAGCGAUGAGGGACGUAACUUGUCAAUUAACCCACACACGUCCACUGAAAUAUGAACAUUGCACAGAUAACAAGUGGAGUUUAUAUGAAUUGUUAAAUCCACAAAGAAAGAUACCAUACAACAAAGAAAAGUUGUGCGAAAAUGGCGGAAUAACGACUGUUGACUUGAGAGACGGACCUGGUUCUGAUCCUUAUAGAUGUCAAUGUUCUUUUGGCUUC